rnacentral:rRNA from 1 species
UGGGGAAUAUUGGACAAUGGGCGAAAGCCUGAUCCAGCCAUGCCGCGUGAGUGAUGAAGGCCCUAGGGUUGUAAAGCUCUUUCACCGGUGAAGAUAAUGACGGUAACCGGAGAAGAAGCCCCGGCUAACUUCGUGCCAGCAGCCGCGGUAAUACGUAGGACCCAAGCGUUGUCCGGAUUUACUGGGUGUAAAGGGUGCGCAGGCGGAUGGGUAAGUCAGGGGUGAAAGUCUGCAGCUUAACUGUAGAAUUGCCUUUGAUACUGCUCAUCUUGAGUGUGGGAGAGGUUGAUGGAAUUCCAGGUGUAGCAGUGAAAUGCGUAGAUAUCUGGAAGAACACCAGUGGCGAAGGCGGUCAACUGGCCCAUAACUGACGCUCAUGCACGAAAGCGUGGGGAGCAAAC